CGGAGACGGCGGAUCGGCUCGGCAUCACGACGAUCCCGCGCAUCGUCGUCGCGGGGUUCGACUCCCCGGUUCCCGU
rnacentral:tRNA from 1 species